rnacentral:rRNA from 1 species
AUUGAACGCUGGCGGCAGGCCUAACACAUGCAAGUCGAGCGGAUGAAGGGAGCUUGCUCCUGGAUUCAGCGGCGGACGGGUGAGUAAUGCCUAGGAAUCUGCCUGGUAGUGGGGGAUAACGUCCGGAAACGGGCGCUAAUACCGCAUACGUCCUGAGGGAGAAAGUGGGGGAUCUUCGGACCUCACGCUAUCAGAUGAGCCUAGGUCGGAUUAGCUAGUUGGUGGGGUAAAGGCCUACCAAGGCGACGAUCCGUAACUGGUCUGAGAGGAUGAUCAGUCACACUGGAAGUGAGACACGGUCCAGACUCCUACGGGAGGCAGCAGUGGGGAAUAUUGGACAAUGGGCGAAAGCAUGAUCCAGCCAUGCCGCGUGUGUGAAGAAGGUCUUCGGAUUGUAAAGCACUUUAAGUUGGGAGGAAGGGCAGUAAGUUAAUACCUUGCUGUUGUGACGUUACCAACAGAAUAAGCACCGGCUAACUUCGUG